CCAGACGACUACAUCUUUUUUACCACACGUUGAAGCAAGACUUCCGCUGUUUGUUCCAGACCAGGACUGUCUGAGGAGAGCUGCUGGAGGAGCUGAGACGCUGGAGGACGACUAGGAAUCGACCAACAAGGAUUCCUCAACGUGUUUCUGGAGCGGAGGCGAGCUGGUAGGGGAGCCGUGAAUCUGGAGGAUGACAUCACUCUACCAACCAGGGUUGUAAGUUUGUAUUAACCAAACAAACUGGAAAUAAAGGGCUUAAAAAUAAGACAAACUACAUGUUUGUUACCAGACUUUAGGGCCAGACUCGCGCUGUUUGUUCCAGACCAGGACUCUGGCUGAGGAGAGCUGAUGGAGGAGCCAAGACUCUGGAGGACGACAUCACUCCACCAACCAGGAUCCUCACCAGGAAUCUGGAGGACUGAUGGAGAAGCCAUACAUCUGGAAGGCAAAUCCUGAGGACCACCAGGACUCUACCAUCAAGGAUUCCUCAUAAAUGUGCAUUAUCUGGACAUAGUGGACUAGACACACCUGAGCUGAACCUCACCUGAUCCUGUUUGGUCGGGGGUAGACACACCUAAGCUAAACCCGCCCUGAUCCUGACAUCCUGCUGGUCCCGUCUCCUCAGUUCAUCUGAGCCUCGUCCUCCAGAAGACCUGCUGAGCUCAGCAGUCUGAGGCUGAUGGAUCAAUGACCUCCAGUGGGAGUGAUCUUCUUGACCCCCCACCUAACCGUGUGCUUCCACACGCCUUUCCCUCACGUCUGUCACUAACCUCACUACUUCACUACUCUCUACUGCUUCCUCUUUUCUUCCUUCUCUGUGGUUCGAACCUUUACACGGAAGGCGCGUCUUCCUGCCCUCAGAGGGUUUAGCGUUAGGGUUGAGUGUCAGGGUUUAGAGUCAGGGACAGAGCUGGUCAGGGAGGACUGCUUUUACAAAAACCUCUUCACUUGCUUUCGGAAUGGUGGUGACAUUUUGAAAAGAUUCAUUUGGGAAAAUGUUUUCCUCUGCUUUCCUUUACAAAAUUGUAUUAAACUUAUGUCAAGUGUUUUUGUUUAUAUAUUAAAAUCCCACAUUGACUUCUACAUGUUUGUAACGGUUCAUUUAAUUGUCCUUUAACUUGGUUAAUGUCAAGCUAAACUCCCGCAAUACAUUUAAUAUACAUGAUUAUUAUUCUGCAAUGUUCACAUAAUCCAUUUUGUAAAAAUAUGAAACCUCCAUAUUACUACUAAAUUCAGGCCUAUUAAUGUAUUUAACAAUGUACAUACUGCCCCGCAGGCCAUUCUCUGCUACUACGACACGUUCAAUCCACCAACCCGUCUCACAUCAAUGUACUAUAGCUACGUUGGUUCAAACGGAAAAUGUAGUUUGGUGUGAGACUGUUGUCCAGCAGAGGGAGCUGUUAUACACCUUAAUUAUACAGAAAUGUCUGUAUUUACAUUUUAAAAUGUUCAUGG